rnacentral:lncRNA from 1 species
GACGAUUUGAGUGGCUUUGCCUCAGUUCACCCUAGGGUGGUUGCAGCCAGCACGACUUGCACAGGAGGGAGGCUCACUGGAGGAACGGGGCAGCCUCGGGCAUGACGCGUGAUGCCUCCUUCUCUCACCCCGACGGGAAGCACGGUGUGUUUGCAGCAUCGGCAACCACAGGAGUAAUUGUUCAGGGCUCAUCAGAGUUAAUCAGUAGGAAAACAUAAGAGGCUCUUGCUCUGACUGCUGCAAGAAAACAGGCCUAGAAACCCCAGUCAAAGUUUUCCUGGCGUUGGAUUAGAAUGGGUGUCAUGACAUUUGUAGAGUAAGAAAGAUGGUUUUUCUUGGAGAUCUUGUUUAAAGGCCUGGAUCUUUUGUUAUUAAUGAUUUAGAAGAAAAGAUACAAUCUCGUCUUUGUUCACCUUUCUUAAUGCUGUCAGAUCGUGAAACAGAACUUACAAAUGUGCGGGGAAUAUUUGGAAGCAGGACUGUAUUUUUCACUUAGGAUGUGGGAUCAGAUGACCGUUCCUUUGGUCUUUUCAUUCAUUUUUUGACGCGUGAGCUGCUGGGGAGCAGCCAGGGCUCACAGGGGCCGUCUCCUGGUUUCUCCCGAGGGGCCUUUGGUUUGGAGUUGGAUUCCGGUACAACAGCCAGUCAUUCACUCACCAGCACGUCACCACCCUGGGGUAAAUUUCAGCUCCGUUUUUCAUUUUCUUUAUCGGUUACUUAGCAUCUCUCACAUGCCUUCUCCACAGGAAGUCUGAGAUGCUCCCUUGCAGGGCUCUGAGGUCUCCCUGGGAGAACAGAGCCCAGGAGCUCUCAGCCCGGGCAGGGAUGGGCCUGGUGCCCAGCUGCCCCUGGCCCGGCCGCGGCCUCUGCUGCUCUGCUCUGCUGCGGGGCCCGUUCAGCCUGACCUCAUUGGAACUGCCUGGAUUUCAGUGUCUUUAACUGGAAAAUCCGUAGCAAGUGGCUGGGCUAGAAGAGCUUCCAGAAUUCUGAGCAAUCUUGCCCUGGAAGUGAGCGCAGCUGCUGUCUGGCCUCCCCACCCCGAGGCGGCUCCCCUGGGACCUGCCCCUUUCCAGCUGGUGCGACUCCCACACCGUCAUCCACUGAUCCUCAGAGAGAAGCGGACUGCUGAAGCCAAGCCAUGGUCCGCUCCUUCAAGGUUUCAGUUUAACCCCUUUAUCCCAGGAACCUGCCUGGGCUCCAUGUCCUCACUGGCCAAUGACCGUCAUGCUGCACCUCCAGGACCAGCUCUCACUGCACACCCUCCUGAGCAACAGAGGAGGUCUUCAGGUCACUGCCUCCGCCACAGUGAGACAGCAGGCUCAGCCACGCUGGACAUCAGGAAGCUCAGGAGAGCCUGCCCUGCCCUCAGCAAGUGCACCUGGACAUCUAGGAAACUGACAGCCCCCUGCAAAUCCACCUUCGGGCCUUGGCUCUAGGGGGUGACCCUUGCACGUCAGGGAAUCAUCAACCUAAUUGCCGUGUGCUUAUUUUACAUUGCACACCUGUACCAAAACAUCUCAUGUACCCCAUAAACAUAUA